rnacentral:rRNA from 3 species
AGACCCGAAACCCGGUGAUCUAGCCAUGGGCAGGUUGAAGGUUGGGUAACACUAACUGGAGGACCGAACCGACUAAUGUUGAAAAAUUAGCGGAUGACCUGUGGCUGGGGGUGAAAGGCCAAUCAAACCGGGAGAUAGCUGGUUCUCCCCGAAAGCUAUUUAGGUAGCGCCUCGUGAAUUCAUCUCCGGGGGUAGAGCACUGUUUCGGCUAGGGGGCCAUCCCGGCUUACCAACCCGAUGCAAACUGCGAAUACCGGAGAAUGUUAUCACGGGAGACACACGGCGGGUGCUAACGUCCGUCGUGAAGAGGGAAACAACCCAGACCGCCAGCUAAGGUCCCAAAGUCAUGGUUAAGUGGGAAACGAUGUGGGAAGGCCCAGACAGCCAGGAUGUUGGCUUAGAAGCAGCCAUCAUUUAAAGAAAGCGUAAUAGCUCACUGGUCGAGUCGGCCUGCGCGGAAGAUGUAACGGGGCUAAACCAUGCACCGAAGCUGCGGCAGCGAACGUAUCACCCAAGACAACUUUACGGAGUUGACGAUUGACGGAGCGAAGCGACGUCAAAGCGUUCAUUAAAGUCGAGUUGGCUUAGGGAUACGUUCGUUGGGUAGGGGAGCGUUCUGUAAGCCUGUGAAGGUGUGUCGUGAGGCAUGCUGGAGGUAUCAGAAGUGCGAAUGCUGACAUAAGUAACGAUAAAGCGGGUGAAAAGCCCGCUCGCCGGAAGACCAAGGGUUCCUGUCCAACGUUAAUCGGGGCAGGGUGAGUCGACCCCUAAGGCGAGGCCGAAAGGCGUAGUCGAUGGGAAACGGGUUAAUAUUCCCGUACUUGGUGUUACUGCGAAGGGGGGACGGAGAAGGCUAUGUUGGCCGGGCGACGGUUGUCCCGGUUUAAGCGUGUAGGUGUGUGUUCCAGGUAAAUCCGGUUCACUUUAACACUGAGGCGUGACGACGAGGCACUACGGUGCUGAAGCAACAAAUGCCCUGCUUCCAGGAAAAGCCUCUAAGCAUCAGGUAACACGAAAUCGUACCCCAAACCGACACAGGUGGUCAGG